GUUGGGCCUGCUCGGUGAGAAGAAAAAUUUAACAGCUGCGGUAUUAUAACUGUACUAAGGUAGCAUAAUAAUUUGCCUUAUAAAUUAAGGCUAGAAUGAAUGGUUUGACGAAAAUUAGACUGUCUUUAUUUUAUUUGUUAGAAAUUAAUUUUUAUAGUGAAAAAGCUUGAAUAAUUUAAGGGGACGAGAAGACCCUAUUGAGCUUUAUUUAUUAAUAUUUAAAUAUAAAUAUAUAAUUUAUAUUAUGAAAAUUAUGUUGUAUAUAUAUAUAUUUAAUUGGAUUUAAUUUUGAUUGGGGUGAUCAAGGAAUAAAAGAUAAAGUAACUUCCUUAAAAUUAAUAAUUGUUUUUAUAGAGUAAUAAACCAAGUUUUUUGCUUAUAAGAUAAGUUACCAUAGGGGUAACAGCGUAAUUUUUUUUGAGAGUUCAUAUUGAAAAAAGAGAUUGCGACCUCGAUGUUGGAUUAAAAAUUACCUUAAGG
rnacentral:rRNA from 1 species